rnacentral:rRNA from 1 species
AUUGAACGCUGGCGGCAGGCUUAACACAUGCAAGUCGAGCGGGGUGAUGGUGCUUGCACUAUCACUUAGCGGCGGACGGGUGAGUAAUGCUUAGGAAUCUGCCUAUUAGUGGGGGACAACAUCUCGAAAGGGAUGCUAAUACCGCAUACGUCCUACGGGAGAAAGCAGGGGAUCACUUGUGACCUUGCGCUAAUAGGUGAGCCUAAGUCGGAUUAGCUAGUUGGUGGGGUAAAGGCCUACCAAGGCGACGAUCUGUAGCGGGUCUGAGAGGAUGAUCCGCCACACUGGGACUGAGACACGGCCCAGACUCCUACGGGAGGCAGCAGUGGGGAAUAUUGGACAAUGGGGGGAACCCUGAUCCAGCCACGCCGCGUGUGUGAAGAAGGCCUUAUGGUUGUAAAGCACUUUAAGCGAGGAGGAGGCUCUUUUGGUUAAUACCCAGAAUGAGUGGACGUUACUCGCAGAAUAAGCACCGGCUAACUCUGUGCCAGCCGCCGCCGUAA